rnacentral:rRNA from 1 species
GUGGGGAAUCUUGCGCAAUGGGCGAAAGCCUGACGCAGCGACGCCGCGUGGGUGAUGAAGGCCCUCGGGUUGUAAAGCCCUGUGGGGAGGAACGAACCGUUCGGGGGUGAAUAUCCUCCGGGCUUGACGGUACCUCCUUAGCAAGCAUCGGCUAACUCUGUGCCAGCAGCCGCGGUAAGACAGAGGAUGCGAACGUUGCUCGGAAUUACUGGGCGUAAAGCGCGCGCAGGUUGCCUUGUAAGUCGUGUGUGAAAUCCCUCUGCUCAACGGAGGAAGUGCACGGGAUACUGCAAGGCUGGAGUACAGAAGAGGACAGCGGAAUUCCCGGUGUAGAGGUGAAAUUCGUAGAUAUCGGGAGGAACACCAGUGGCGAAGGCGGCUGUCUGGGCUGAUACUGACACUGAGGCGCGAAAGCGUGGGAAGCAAACAGGAUUAGAAACCCCUGUAGUCC